UACGGGGGGAGCAAGCGUUGUUCGGAUUUACUGGGCGUAAAGGGCGCGUAGGCGGCCACCGCAAGUCGACUGUGAAAUCUCCGGGCUUAACCCGGAAAGGUCAGCCGAUACUGUCGUGCUAGAGUGCGGAAGGGGCUACUGGAAUUCUCGGUGUAGCGGUGAAAUGCGUAGAUAUCGAGAGGAACACCUGCGGCGAAGGCGGGUUGCUGGGCUGACACUGACGCUGAACUGCGAAAGCUAGGGGAGCGAACAGG
rnacentral:rRNA from 1 species